rnacentral:lncRNA from 1 species
UUAUCAGAUCAAGCAUAAUAUUUUUCAUACUAGUGCAUUAUUUUAAGAAACUAACGAUUGUAAUAAAGAAAGCAUUUUCUAUAAUCAAACCAGAUGUAAACCUUUUAUCUUUAUUCACUGCUUUGAAAUCCGUACUUAUCAUUAUUCUUGCUUUGAAAUCCGUACUCAUAAUUAUUCAUGCUUUAAAAUCUGUGCUGUUAUUAUUCAUGCUUUGAAAUCUGUGCUUGUAAUAAAGUAAACAUUUCAAAUAAUCCAACCAGUCAUAAAACUAUGCAUGUCCAUUCAUGCAACUUCAUAAAUAUGAUUAUGCAUCAUAAAACUUUUGCCAUUAUUCUAUACUUUCAAAUUCAUACUCUCAGAUGGUAGUGUAGCUAUGGCCGCUCUUAUUCCCACGGCAAGGCCUUUACCACUGCAGGGUGUAUCUUCCAGUUACUAUUACCCACUGGCGGGGGUCGUAAAGCCAAGUUAUUUUUUCCCACUGGCUGGGGUCGUAUGCCUAGUUACUGUUACCCACUGGCGGGGGUCGUACAUAGCGAUCUGAGAGUUCUUAAAACGUAUCAUGCUUUUCAUAAAUCUUUUCUUAUAGAUCCAUUGGAAAGUGAAUAAUGGCAUCAUGCUAAUAAAACUCAUGAUCAUGUUGAAAACUUUAUUUUU